rnacentral:rRNA from 1 species
GUAGGGGGCAAGCGUUAUCCGGAUUUACUGGGUGUAAAGGGAGCGUAGACGGCUGUGCAAGUCUGAUGUGAAAGGCAGGGGCUCAACUCCUGGACUGCAUUGGAAACUGUGUAGCUUGAGUACCGGAGAGGUAAGCGGAAUUCCUAGUGUAGCGGUGAAAUGCGUAGAUAUUAGGAGGAACACCAGUGGCGAAGGCGGCUUACUGGACGGUAACUGACGUUGAGGCUCGAAAGCGUGGGGAGCAAACAGGAUUAGAUACCCUGGUAGUCCACGCCGUAAACGAUGCUCACUGGAUCUUGGCGAUACACUGCCAGGGUUCAAGCGAAAGUAUUAAGUGAGCCACCUGGGGAGUACGUCGGCAACGAUGAAACUCAAAGGAAUUGACGGAAGCC